AAAAGCAAAAGCGUGCCCACGCCCACAAGCGAAAGAAAAAAUAUUCAAUCGCUGAUUUCAUAUUUUUUUGAGCGCCAAACUGGUUACACCCAACAAAUUGUUGGAGAACGGAACGAAGAUAUCUGUAUAUAUACCAUAUGAUUGAAUAAAUUUCAAUAAAUACAUGCAGAGAUACGUCAUUUUGUAGCAGGUUGGUGUAAAUUGAAUUUUCAUGCCCCGACCAAAGCAACCGGGGACCACUCACACUCAUUUGUUUGCUUAUUUGUCCCCACGCAGCCAAUGUAUAUAAAGCCCGGCCCAAAAUGGAAUUGCUGAGCAAGUCAAAAGCGAGUCUAUAAAAUCUAAUACGCACACGAGCAUCGAGCAAACAGUAAGUCCCGCCCACAGAUCGUCGCUAUAUGGAGGACCAUAGUAUAUAAAAUAUAAGUGCCUAAUAAAACCCGAGAGAGUGCGGCUUAAGAGAACCGCUUUGAAGAGUGUGGAUCAAUGGUGGUGCAAACGGAUCGGUUUUAUAUAUAUUUGCUUCCCUGUCGCACUAGUCGCCUCAAGUGCCGAUCGCACUCUUAAGUCUCCGCAAACGGGUUUCUUCUCAGGUUUCUCCAGCGGAACUCAAGAGUUGCGAUCGCUGGGGCUACGUUUUCAGUCUGUGAGCAACUGCGUGACCUGCACGACGAUCGAGGAGCGAUCUUCAGCUUUUUUGCCUCGAUGGUUGCGAUGGAAAGACGUGAAAUGUGUGAUCAAUCAAUAAGAACUGGGAAAGUGUGUGUAUUAAUAUUAAUUAAAUCGAGAACAUUGAAAGAUGGUGACUUGAAUACUUGAGACUUGAUUGCACAGUGAUCAUGACUGCUGGCAAGGAGAUAAAAAAGAUCUGUGUUAAAUUAACACUCGCUUAAAUAUAGAUUGCGAAGGCGGCGAAGAAGCGGCGCAGAAGCAGAAGCAGAAGCAGUAGCAUCAGCAUCAGGAGUUGGAGUUGGAGGAUGCCAAGCGGCCAAGUGGCCAAGUGGCCAGUUUGCCGGUCGCCGCCAGAAGUUGCCGACUCACAAUGUGUGUGCGCAAAGGCUUUAAGAAAUGCCGAAUUCCAGAAGCUGCAGUACAAUCAGUUGAAUUAAAAAACGAGCGCACAGACAGUGGACGACGGCUGGAUGGGAUUGGGAUUGGGGAUGGGGAUUGGGAUUGGGGAUGGAGAUGGGGGAUUUGCUGGCUGCUGAAGUUUCAGGGGCUCCACUGGAGGAUCGCCGGCGAUAUCAUCGCGUGGUGAGCGCGGGCUAGGAAAUUAAGAGGACAUUGUGGCGGCAUGCGGUUAGAACUUGCAGCGGCGGCUUAAACACAAAAUCCGCACUGGAGAUUCCUUGCGUGGCUGCGUUGUUGGUGGCUUUUGGACAGCUGGACGCUGGCUGACAGAGGUCGCCCUCGUACGUAAUCGACGAGCAUUGCAAAUGCUUUUGUCCUCCUCCAGCCAGCCUGCGUCUUGUGCUGCGCACGUGGCCAUGUUGCUGACGCAGCAGCAGCAACAGCAAGCGGCAUCAGCAGCAACAUAAGCAGCAGCAAGCAGCAACAGCAGCAACAAGCAAACAGCAAAUCAUUGAAAUGUCGUUAGAGGCUCGAGCGGCACGCAGCAUCGAUAGUCAGCGCAACCGCAAAAUGCUUUUAAUUUCUCAAACUGAUAUGCACCCGUGCUCCCACUGCCGUGGAGGAAAACUUGGGCCAGAGGUUCGACUUCCUUUGUUUGGUCUUAUUUCUGCUUGCAGGUAAUUCAACAGAAAGGUCCCCUGAUGAGGUGGCAAGAGGGUAAAGAUCAGCACAUUACUUUGGACCAGAAUCAGAGAGGUCACAUCAAUACAAAUAAUUGCAGGCACCCAUAGAAAUUCUAUGAAUAUACACAUUUAUUUUUUUGGGAAUAAAACGAUGGCAAACAUCCGAAAAAAGAAAAAAACUAUGUUUAUGAAAAGAAAUUUAUGCAAUGAAACUAAAGUUCAAGCCAAAGAACGUGUUCAAAAAUCUAAAGAAAUUGUAUCAACCUAGAUUAAUUUGUAUUUACCUAUUUUUAAUUACUAAGCAUGAAAAAAAUGGUUUAUCUGAUCGGAUUCUCAAUUUUAUAUGACAUUUUGCCAAAUGUAAUUAGAUUCCUUAAAACAACUAAUGAAAUUAUUGAAAAUGUCUUCAUGUCGUUCUUUGCACUAUUAACCCUUUCAAACUAUGCUAAAGCUAAGAAACACAAAUCAAAUUUUGUAAUAAAUACGAAAUCGUAAAAGCCAACAAA